rnacentral:rRNA from 1 species
CAGCACUGGGAUUCACUGACACUGAGGCUCGAAAGCGUGGGGAGCGAAACGGAUUAGAUACCCGUGUAGUCCACGCCGUAAACGAUGGAUACUAGAUGCUUGGGGUAUUGACCCCCUGGGCGUCGUAAGCUAACGCGUUAAGUAUCCCGCCUGGGGAGUACGGUCGCAAGACUAAAACUCAAAGGAAUUGACGGGGGACCGCACAAGCGGUGGAGCGCGUGGUUUAAUUCGAUGAUAAGCGAAGAACCUCACCGAGGUUUGACAUGCUACUGCUAAGCCUAUGAAAGUAGGCCUCCUUCGAGGGUGUAGCACAGGUGUUGCACGGCUGUCCUCAGCUCGUGUCGUGAGAUGUUGGCUUAAGUGCUAUAACGAGCGCAACCCCUGCGAUAAGUUGUAUCACUCUUAUCGGACUGCCUGUACAUAAGUACAGGAGGAAGGCGGGGAUGAUGUCAAGUCAGCGUGGCCCUUAUACCUCGGGCUACACACGCGCUACAAUGGUAGGUACAACGGGUUGCAAGUCAGCGAUGAUAAGCUAAUCCCUUAAAACCUAUCUCAGUUCGGAUUGCAGGCUGAAACUCGCCUGCAUGAAGUUGGAAUCGCUAGUAAACGUGGGUCAGCACACCGCGUUGAAUACGUUCUCGGUCCUUGUACACACCGCCCGUCAAGUUGGGAAAGUUAGGGGCACCCGAAGAUCCAUUAGCAAAGCCGGAAGGAAGCGUGGGUCGAAGGUGAAACUAGCGAUCAAAGCUAAGUCGUAACAAGGUAACCAAGGG